UUGUUUUCUCAAAAAGACAUGAAUAAUGUCCAAUUAACAGUGAUUGGAAUCUAGUUUGAAUGUAGCUAGACAUUUUUUAAUUUAUAUGUUUAUAUAUGUUAUAUGUUUUAUGUUCAUUUAAACAUAUUAGCCUAGAGUGAGUUGCUGUAGGUUUACUUUUUUCUUCAUGUGGAGCAUGACAAUUAUUACACUUUAAUUUUUUUUAAAUUGCUUUUCAAUCCAGUGGUGAUCCAAAAACUUUAACCUCACACAGUGUAAGAUAUUCUUCCCGUCCUGGAAUAACAACAUUAAUGUAACGUCCUUCCAUCCCAUCACAUUCAAAGGUGGCGGAAAGACCAGCAGGAAUGGAAGAGAUCACAGCACACC